rfam:Canis lupus familiaris chromosome 1, whole genome shotgun sequence.
GCCUGGGUGGCUCAGUGGUUGAGCAUCUGCCUUUGGCUCAGGGUGUGAUCCCGGAGUCCUGGGAUCGAGUCCCACAUCAGGCU